rnacentral:lncRNA from 1 species
GAUCUGAGCGUCACUGAUGAGUCUUAUGAAGACGAAUCGCUCGUCUGACGUAUUAAAUUAUAAUCCUGGUACCUUUGAUAAUAAUGAACCACAUUAAAAAAGACAACUACUGAACAUCAGAUUCCUGAAUUAGGACAGGAGCAAUUAAUUGCGGCGGGAUAACACGCUUUAGUGGUACCGAACCUUCUCCCUUGUAGUAUAACAUCACAACAUAGAAAAACACACUAUAAAAUAUCAACUGGAAUUGCUAAACUCAAUCGAAAAACGUAGUAACACAAAUUAGCACACAAUAAACGA